rnacentral:rRNA from 1 species
AGCAGCCGCGGUAAUUCCAGCUCCAAUAGCGUAUAUUAAAGUUGUUGCAGUUAAAAAGCUCGUAGUUGAACUUCAGGCCUGGCUGGACGGUCCGCCCUCUGGGUGAGCACUGUCUGUGGUCGGGUCCUACCUUCUGGCGAAGCGGCAUGGCCUUAACCGGCCGUGGCGGGGAACCAGGACUUUUACUGUGAAAAAAUUAGAGUGUUCAAAGCAGGCACGCGCUUGAAUACAUUAGCAUGGAAUAAUGGAAUAGGACAAUGGUUCUAUUUGUUGGUUUCUAGGACCGUUGUAAUGAUUAAUAGGGAUAGUUGGGGGCAUUAGUAUUCAAUUGUCAGAGGUGAAAUUCUUGGAUUUAUUGAAGACUAACUACUGCGAAAGCAUUUGCCAAGGAUGUUUUCAUUAAUCAAGAACGAAAGUUAGGGGAUCGAAGACGAUCAGAUACCGUCGUAGUCUUAACCAUAAACUAUGCCGACUAGGAAUCGGGCGAUGUUGACAAAAUGACGCGCUCGGCACCUC